GCCAGUGGUGGCUCAGUGGUUAAAGGCGCUGGGUUACUGAUCAAAAGGUCAGGAGUUCAAACCUCAGCACUGUCU